AUUUCCUAAAUACAAAUCUCAUGUGAAAUAGGAAAGAGAAUAAGACAUCCUAAGCAAUUUAGGAAACCUAAAAAUUAUGUCUUUCUCGUAUAACCAUCUGCAUGACCAUGCACCAGCCAAUGCAGAUUUCUGUCUUAAAAAUUCUAUCUAGAGAGAGACUCUAGGAUUGAUGUGCAUCGCCACCUACAUGAACAUGCAUCUGCCAGUAUAUGCCUUUUAUGCCUUCAUCAAAAACUUUCUAAACUCUCUCAAAAUCACCUAAAAUUCAUAAAAUAAACUAAAAUGAUUAAAUAAAUUAAAUUUAAAUGAAAAAAAUAAUGAAAAUUACUCAAAAAUAACAAGAAAUUAAAGCAAAAACAAUUCUGAUUGUGUAUAAAAUACACCAUUAUCAUUGGCCAAGUAAGGAUGAGACAUUUAAGGAGAAGAGUGCUAAAGUAAAGUCGCAUGACAUUGAAGGUAACUCUAGGAUACCUUCUAAUCCGAAACAUAGCACCAUCAAAUACUUUAGGUGUUUAGGUUCAAGACACAUUACUUAUAAUGCCGUAACUCAAGAAUCAUGUUGGUAAACGAUAAUGGUGAUAUUGAGAGUGGUAGUGAAGGUGACAGUGCCGAUAACAUGCCACCAUUGGAGGAUGUUGAGGAAGACGUUGAAUACCUAGUUUAGAGAGAAACUGUAGUUGUUUGAAAAAUACUGAAUGUUCAAGUCAACUAAGAAAGCAACCAAAGAGAGAAUAUAUUACAAACUUAUUGCCUUGUGAAUGGGAAGGUUAUAAUCUUAUUAUAGAUGAAGGGAGCUACACCAAUGUUGUCAAUACUACCUUGAUUGAUAAACUUGGACCUACACGAAAAAUUCUAAUCCUUAUAUAUUACAGUGGUUGAAUAAAUAUGGGGAGGUAAAGAUGACUAAGCAAGUACUGGUGUUUUUCUCUAUUGGGCAAUACAUUUAUGAAAUCCGUUGUGAUGUGCUCAUGUACGCCAGUCACAUCUUACUGGGAAGACUUUGUCAAUAUAACAAAUGUGUAGGCUAUAAGAAUUGUUAUUCUUUUAGUAUGAAUGACAAGAAUUUAAUUCCUGCACUGCUAUCAUCAAAGAAGGUACUCAAAGGUUAAUAGAAGAUCAAGAUUUCUCGAGUCAAAGUCAAGAGGAGGGGGAAAAAAGUGUUUGUUAACUAACCUUAAUCUUUUUUUAUCCAACAAUGUUGUUUUGCAGGACUUCAAGGGUAUUCCCAAUAAGGUAGGGUUGAUAAAGCUCUUACAUGAGAAAGUUCUUGAUUCAAUGACGAAUUCUUUCAAAAAAUGGGGAAAUGAUGUGAUCCUAAACAUGCAUGGAGAAGAGUCCCACCCAAGAGGGAUAUUCUCUCCCAUGAGAGUUUCUCUCAAGCCAAUCUCUCUUGGUGGAGUGCGGCAAUAUGAAUCCUAAAUUAGCUAAGAUUUGUCACAAGGGAGCUCUAAGAAGAUCACAACUCUUUAUUUUAGAGUUUUGAUUGGAUUUCUUCUUCGUCAAUUAAUACUUUAAAGAGUUAGAAUCAAAGGAAAGAGCAAAGGAAGAGGAGUCUUUAUUUUAGCUAAAAAUCUUCCUUGAUUUUCUCAUGGAGAAAAGUUUAUUUUCUACUUCAAGUUAGCAACUUUUUAAGCCAUCUUAAACACAACUUCUUCAUCAAAAAUUAAUUAAUUAUUGAAGUUCAAAUUCGAUUAGGGAGUAAGAAUUCGACCACAAUAAGGAAUCCUAUUCAAGAGAGAAGAAUUUUAUUUUCUUUAUGUUUAUGUUUCUUUAAUUUAAUUUUUUAAUUAGAAUUUUAGAUAAGAAUGUAUUUAGAAUUUUUCUAAAAUUUAGUUUUCGAUUUCUACUCAGACUAGUAAAGUUUGUCCUUAUAUAAAGAUUUUAUUCCUUUGGUUGUAAACACAUCAAGUCAAAUCAAUAAAAUAUAAAUCAUUGCUCAAUAGUUUUUAGAUAUUGUAAGUGCUGUUUGAGAGGGUUUUUUAACCAUCUUGUUGAGUGGAGAAUUGGUUCUACUUAUUGAAGUAAUCUCUAAUGUUUUAUCUAUUCUUAUUACUUAUCCCAAUUGUCUUAGUUCUCAAUCAUGGAUUGAUUGUGGGUUAAGUAAGAAGAAUUCGUUUAGGAAUUAAGUUUGUGUUAACUUAUAUGUUUGAGUUUUUGAUCUCAUUGAUUGAUUUUGGAUUCCGCAUCAGUAGUCUAUCUAAUAACUAAGUUAAGGUAUUUUAUUUGUAGGUACUAAAAUACAACAAAAUUGCAAAUAUGGAAAACUUAUAAAAUAGGAAAAUAAAUUAAAUAGAAAUAAAUUAAAAAGUAUUUCUUUUUCCUUCUAUUGUAAAUAAAGAAAACCUAAAAUAGGAAAAUAAGUUAAGUAAAAGGAAUUAGAAAAAUAUAAAAUCUUCCUAUUUUCUUUUAUUGUACAACUUUUGGAAACUUUAUUUUUACUAUUGAAGGACAUUAAAAUUUCCUAUUCUUUGUAGUGUAAAAGAGCAACUUAAAAUUUCUUAUUCCGUUUAUGUAAAAGUUUCCAAAAUGAUUGUUCUCCUUUGUUGGUUCUGCAUCAAUACCUUAAUACUCAGAGGAUUAAACUUUCAAAGUACAAAUAUUAUUUGAAUCCAAAUUCAAAAUAAAGUUAAUAGAUUUUAAAUCAUUAAAUUAGAGUACCUACAUUUUGUAAAAUCUUGAGGACUAAGAUAUUUUGGCGCGAGCAAGGGGAAGGGAGGGGGCAACUCACACUAAGAUCCCAUGAAGAUGAUUACAAGCAAAUGGCUAAAAGAGUCCUACCAAUCAUUGACUCUCAAGUAUUUCACAUGAGUGAGUCAUUUAUUCUUGUUGAGAGAGUCAUAAUUGAUCACUCAUCUCUUUUAAAGCACGUUAAUCAUAUGAAUAAUAAGAGUCUUAAAGAUUUAAGAUACUUGAUUAUUCAUUUUUCCACAAUUGAACACAAUUCUUCUCAUGAAUGGUUUUCAACUUCAAGUAAAUCUCAUAAGGAUUCAAGGAUCCUUGUUCUACCAAGUAAUGUCAGGUUUCAAGAGAUUUACAUCAUGAAAAAUGAGUCUUCAUCAAUGUAGAGUUCUCGUCAAAACAAGAGAAGAAGAAUCUUAUUAUUACAAGUCGUGGCUGGGAUUGCACUCUUCUUCAUCUCAUGGUAGAAAAUCCUAGAUUUUCUCGUACAUAUUCUAUUAGCUUUUUCUUAGAUUUUCUCCUAUAUUUCUUUUUGGACUUUUUCUUAGAUCUUCUAUUGGAUUUUUUUUAGAUUUUCUCUUAAAUUUUCUUUUAGAUUUUUUUUCGAAUUUUUCUUCCAAUAUUUUAAUAAAAUAUUUUUAAUUAAAUAUAAAUUUCUAAUUAAAUUAAAUUAAAAUUUUUAAAUAAUAAUUGUAACAUCUAUAUAAAUGAAUAUGUUUGUUAUUAAUAAAGUUAAGUUAGAAUAUUAUUUUAAAUUAUAGGAUUAGAUCUCUCUCUAACAAGGUUCAAGGUAAUAGCUCCCUUUAAUGAGUUGUAUUUUACUUUUACAAAAUAAGUUGCUAAAGAAAUCGCAGUAAGGAAAAUAACAUAUUCUGCAACCGGAAAUUCUAGAGAACUGCCUAAUGACAAGAUCCUAUUUUCAGGAACAUAACAAAUUGUUAUUGAGUCUAACACAAUGGAUGAUUUUGCAAUAAAAGAAGAUAUGCGAUUGAUCCUUCAGAAAGUUUUGUCUGCAAACGAAGCACGGACCACAAAGAUUGAAAGAUGAUUCGUCAGUUAGUUGUAAGAGUUAUCCUCGCAAUUCAAAGAGAUAAUGACUAACUUUAAUUGUGACAAAUGAACAGAAUCAGAAAGAACUGUACGCAGCAACUGCCACGGGGAACAGCCACCUGAAGCACUUCACAUCAUAAGUCAAUCGUGGGAUGCAAAUAACCUCUAGGUAAUGGAAUCGUUCUCUACUACACUAAGUUAGACUUUCUAAUGUCCGAUGGUUCUAAAAAUCUUCUAAUAUGGUUGCAUCAGUGUGAGAAAUUUACCAAUCAAAACAUGUCGAAAUGCUUGCAUUGGUGUGAGAAAUUUUUUAUCAACCAAUACACGCCAGAAAGAGAUAAGGUGGUAUUAACGGCCUUUCAUUUGCUUGGAGAGGCACAGUUAUGGUACCACUAGUUAAAAUCUGAACAACCUAUGCUCAAGUAGACUAAAUUCAAAGGCUAUUAUUCUCUGAGGUUUAGGUCACCAAUAGGAAGUAAUCCAUUAGGGGAAUUGGUAAACUUGAAAUUGACGGAAUCAGUUGCAAACUAUCAGAGGUAGUUCCAAGAAAAACUGAGAAGAGUAAACAAGUUCGUUCAGGUUGAUUAACAUGUAGGUUUGUUUACAACAUGAUUGAUUGAUUCUCUUGGUAUAAAGGUCGAGAUGCAAUUACCUACCAUUAUUAUGCACACAAUGAAAUUAGUUAAGGGUUUUUGAAAGGAAACUACAGUUGUAAGUUAUGACUGAAUACAAUUAUAGUGACUUCUCUUAGUUCGUACCCAAAUCUAACAAUUCAGUUCAGAAAAUACCAACUCCACAGGGCAUCAACGUGACGACACAAUCUAAUAAUGCUUCCUCUCCAUUUAUAAAAAAACUAACAAGCGCAGAGAUGACAGAAAAGAGGCUGAAAGGGUUGUUGUAUUAUAAUUGCGAUGAACCGUUUGUUCAGGAUCAACAAUGUAAAUAGUUGUUAUGCUGUGAAAUUGAACGCGACAUUGAUUUUGAGAAUAAGAAAAGACCGACAAGGCAAAUUAUCCGCAUUUCAAGCUUGAGGACAAGCUUAAAGAUCGGGGGGAGUAAUAUUAUGGACGCAUUUAUAGCGUCUAAAUAAGAUGUUGAAGUUCAAUUAAAUACGGAAUCCUAAUUGGUAUUAGAUUUCUAUUAAUAAACAUAGAAUUCUAAUUAGUAUUAAAUUUCUAAAUGACAUGAUUUCCCAUUGAUAUUGGAUUCUUAAAUAGUAUAGGAUUUUCAAUAUUUUAAUGGAGUAUUUUAAUUAGAUUUAGAUUUGUAAUUAAAUUAAAAUUGUUAAAUAAGAAUUAUAAUAUUUAUACAAAGGGGUAUGUUUGCUAUUAGUUAAGACAAGUCAUUAUAUUAUUUUAAAACUAUGAGAUUGGAGCUCUCUUUAACAAGAUCUAUAGUAGUAACUCUCUUUAAUGAGAUUUAAUCUAUUUUAACAAAACAAGUUGUUUAAGGAAUUGCAGUAAGGAAAAGAAGCAGAUUCUGAAACAGAAAUUUCAAAGAACUGUCUAAUGAUAAGAUCCUGAUUUCAAAACAUAACAUAUACUUAUAUAGGUUUGACAUCAGAAAGUUGGCUGGAAAAGUUAGAAAAACAAUUCUAAACCUAAUGCCAUAAAACUGAUCUUUUAUCUUUAUUUUUGUGGCCACCAUAUUAAAAUAUUAUGAUAAUGAGUUCUAAAUUAGUUUUGGAAAUUUAUCUUCAUUGUUGCAGGCCUAUAUGUAAUACCAUAGGAAACCUUAAUUUUUUUAUUUAUUAUAAAAUAACACCCUUAAUAAAUAUAGACUUGGUACCUAUGAAUAACUAUAAUAGUAAUGAUUUUCUUUUUGGGAACCAGGUAUCUCAAGCUCAAAUAUCCUAACUCUACCCUUGAAGGAAAGGUAAGAUGGAGAAUCUGAUAUAACAAAGACAUGUAAACAGGCGGGAAAAUAAAAAUGGAUUUGUGUAAUUCAGUUAGAAACUGUAAAGUCAGUUGAGAUGUUGGGUAUAAUAUCUCUAACUGUAGCUGUGUCUCAAUAAGAAUUCUUCUCUCAUUCUCUCUCAAUAUGAUGUUUUCUUUGUAAUGCCCAGAACUUGUCCGUGUUAGCUCUAGUCCAUGCCUCAUUUCAGGGAACCUGAACUGGCUCUACUUCAUGAUAAUUAUAUUUUAUCAAUACCUAAUUCCAUCCAUUAUUUCUCUGUUAUCCAUCUUUUUUGCUCUGUGAGAGUCCCCACUCAUAUCAGUUAGUUCUAAUACUGUUUUUUCUGUCAGAAGUGCCAGGUAAUGGUCUUAUAGGCUUGUAGCUCUUUAAUUUCAUGUCCUUUGACAACUUGAGGUAAUUACAUUUUGGUCUCCUCAUGCAACCAUUACAAACUCCUAGAGAAUUACAGCCAGAUAUGUACCCUCACUUCAUGGAAAGAGAAAAAUCAAAGACUUUCAUCUCCAAGUCAAUUUUGGGAUUAAUAUAUGAUAAAGCAACACAAUAUCAGAUGGAGGAUCCAUCAAACAAAGGUAUAGCAGAAAUGUGCAUGUUAUGGCAACUAAAGAAUAGUGAAACAAUUUAUUUUGAGUUUCAUAAUUUUGUUUAGGAACCACAAGGCAAAUCACAUUUUUAUUUGCGUUCUUCUUAAUUAGAUAUAUGAUCCUGCUAUACUCUUGAACUAACUUAAAUGUCUAUUUUUUCACUAGGAACUGUAUGGAGCUGCAGAAUUUGAACAGAGAAUGCGGUGUCUGGAGGAGAUUUAUAAUGAGGCCUUGGCAAUAUACCACUCAGCAUAUGUCAGGCAAAAAAAGAAAGAAAUGUGGGAAGAUGCAGUUUUGCAUGGAACGUGGCAGGUGCAGCCCUGUGCAACCUCGAUGCAUGAAAACAGGGUGAGAGGCCCUUGUUGUGUUUACCUUGGGUUUUGAAGGAGGGUUUUGGUUGAAUAAACUCCAAAUCUAGUGUAUGAUGUAUUAUACUUCAACAUUGAAGCCAUGUGGUGCAUGUUGGCAUGUUGAUAUCAACUAUAUAAACCUUGUUGUAUGGUAACGUGUAAAUAUAUUAACAUAUAUAUAAUUUAACGAUUGGAGCACUUAUUUCUUGAUGAACGUCAUAGUUAGCACUAUGGCUGAUUUCUAGAGGGGCCUAUUAAUAGGCUAGUGGGCUAAUAUUUAUUUUGUUGAAUAGGAUCCAAGUGGCUUGAACUUCUUUUUAGAAACCCUCUUUUCUUUUAUUUUGUAUUAUCACAUGCAAUGAUAAAUUUUUUUCAAAAAAAAAAUAAAAAGGAAUUAGUAGUGUUUACACGUAGUUGAUUGACGGGUUCUAUGCUAACGUGGAGGUGACGAUGAUUGCUUGGAUGGAUAUUCUAGAGGUGUGAAGAAUGAUUCUCAAAUGUCAUGUCGCAUUCCUGUACUGUACUUGUCGGACUGGACAUUUUCCUUUUUUUUUUUUUUUUAUUGGGAAUUGUAUUGUAACUUUAUUUCUUGAUAGAGAUGGAAAGGAAUUGGCAAUUUGCUAAAACCGUGUGGAGACUGUUGUAGAUUUUAAUUGAAAUCAAACUGGAUUGGGAUAAGUCGUAACAAAAUUUUUGAAUCUGUCAUGAAACGAAUUUGGAUUUAUAUAGUAAAAACUCACUUGAAUCUCGACUUCUUAAUUGUUUAUUAAUUAAAAAAAAAAAAAAAAAAAAGAUACGUUAAAACACACAUUCUACCUCUCUUUGACAAAGAUGUCUCCUUCAUCUUCUUCUAUCUUCGUCGUUGUACUCCAACUGUCCAAUGAUGAUUAGAGGCUUCCCAAUUGCAAGCUAUCACCUCUUUCGUGGCUUUACACUCUAACAUCACUUAACAGUAAACUUGCACGUUUAUGAACUCACUCUGUGAUGCGAUCAUACCUGAGGAAAAACAUGGUAACAAGCAGGAGACCUAUGUGACAACAGAAGGGCAAAAACCAACAUACAAUAUUGUUCUUUCAGGACACAUUAUGAAGUAUGCUCGAACGGAAAAUGAUUAUGAAGAAUCUACCCAGAACUAGGACCACAAAAAGAGUAAAACAGGACUUAUGAAGGAAUUAAGCCGAUAAGGGCAACGAUCUAGAAGAAGAAGAAAUAAGAGGCGACUCGAGACGAGAAAGUUAUUGGGUCUCAUAGCCAAGGAGAAGCUCGGCCCAAGGAUUCUGCCCCAAGAGAAAGGCCUAAACACAAUUUGGGUAUGAGUACCCAUCAGAUACACGUGUGGGUGUACACAAGUGCGGGCAAUAUAACCCACACAUGCGGGAAGAUCACUCAUGCAAGAGAGCUCGCGGAACAUGCGAGAGAGUCGUGCCCCCGCACAGUAAAAGCGUAUGCGCGCACAUAAGCUAGAUGCAUGCUGGUGGAGGCGCAUGUGCAAGGAGGCCAGUCGCACGCCCAAGGAGCGCGCUCGGUGAGCCAGCCCUGCGCUAGGACACAAAUGUGCAAGUGGUCCUUACCGCACGCGCGCCAGGUCCACACACACGCACGAACCUUCUACAUGCACCCAACGCCGACCCCCUGCAGGUGCAUGCGCCAGACAGCGCGGACAACCUGUACGCAGGCCAUGAGUCCUAUUUGGACUCUUUCUUCCUUUCUUUUUUGCCAUCCAACUCGAACACAGCAUACCCUUGGAAUUCUACACCAAAUUGGAUACAAAGAUAAGCUUAAAACACCAAGGAAGAUCAGCCAAUGAAGAAGAAUUGUACUUAAAUUAAGUUAGUUUUAUUUUAUUAUUUUAUUUGAAUUUUUAAAUUAUAAUUUUUUAUUUAAUUAAUUUUCAGCAGGG
rnacentral:lncRNA from 1 species